rnacentral:lncRNA from 1 species
UCUGGUUCUGGCCUUUACUUUUCUAAGGACACCUGCAUGGAAGACUGAGUUACUAAUAAAGGGUUUGAAAGAAAGAAAGAAAAAAAAAACUUCAUAAAAUUUCUGUACUCUUCUAGAGAAAGACCACUUUGAAAUAAGAUUAAUAACUAACUUUUAUUGAGCCUUUAGUAUAUGCACCAGACUCUGUGUUCAGCACUUUACAUAGAUUACUUCCCUUAGUCUUUACAACCACACUAUGAGGUAUAAGCACCAUUAGCCCUAUUUUGCAGGUGAUGAAAUGGAGACUUGGGGGCAUCAAAAGACAUCUGUGAGGUCAGUUAGCAAGCUAUAGAUCCAGGAUUUGAACUUGGGCAGUGUGACAUGAGAUUCAGGCUCUUAACCAUGGUAUUUAUUGUGCCUGCUCAUUAUCCAUUGAAAUAGGCCUUUUUGCAUCUCCUUGUAUGGGAGGUUUGUGUGUGUGUGUGUGUGUGUGUGUGUGUGUGUGUGUGUUUUGUCUGUUUUAUGCACAAAUACAUGCCUAUAGAUAUAGGGAAAACAUUGAACUGGCUUCAUUCCAUUUAGCUGGAAGUAAAAUGAUAUGAAACAUGUUGACCAAGAUUUAGCAGAGGAACAGGUUUCCUAGACUUACAGUCUUCAUCCUGGUUGGUAGAGUGAGGGAGGAGCUGAAUAGAAGGAGGAAGUAGAAGGGAUAGAAAGAAGACCUUAUAGGCAUAUUUCAAAAUUUAUUUGAAGGGUGGGAAUUUGGUCUGCUCUGGCCACCUUUGUAAUGUUGGUUUUUUGAGACUUAACUUGGGAAACGUCUGGGCUCUCAACUAAUGUGUUUCGUUUGAGCUCAUCUUCUCAGGUAUACUGGGAGAGGCCAGGGACUGCAGAUGGAGUGAGGAUUUGGCCUUGCUGCCCUGUGGUCCUUACAAUAGAGUCAGAUGUAUAGAUUCUAAUUGCAUUUUUAAAGAGAGAACCACGGAUAUCCUUUCUUCCCCUAUCAAAUAUCCUCAGGGACAGUCUGUUUGUCCAGGAGAAACAAGGUUAUUUUAUUGAUUGAGGAUGAUGUCAGACCCCUGGCAGUGGCGUGAUUAAAGCUGUGGGCAGAUUAAAGGUUGCAGAGUUCGUACUAUUUUAGUUCUUGCACAUGAGACAAGGAAUCUUUUCCUUUCUCUAAUAAAUAAAUGGAGUAGUGUUCUCCUUCUUAUGUGACUCUUAACAUGUAGAUGAACAUAAGUUCUUUAAGGAAAACAGUAAACUGGAGAGGAAUCAGCAAAGGUUUUUUUUUUUUUCUUCUAAGACUGAUUUCUUUUCCUCUUUUAAACAGAAACAAAAAAGGCCAGGGGGCGGGGUGGUGGGGAGGGACAAUCUGUGUCCGGUUGACAUAAAGUGAUUUGGGUUUUGAAAAGGAUAUGGAGGAGAGGGGACAACAUUAAAGGAAAAGAGUAAGACUUUGGAUAAGUAAAGUUUUCUUGGUAAGGAGCUGGGUGUCAAGAGCAAGCCAGUCAAAAUCAGCAUGAAGAAUCUAAAUAGUACUGGAAAAGAAUUGUAUGGUGGUUUCUCACCAGGGGCUCAAGUUUAAAAGCUUUGGGCUGUUUUCUGUGUGUUUAAAUU